rnacentral:sRNA from 1 species
GACCACGCUGGCAUGAUAACUACGACUCGCGUCGUAGGCGGAAUUAUCACGCCCCCAGGAGCGUAUGCUCCCUUCGGUUUAGACAUGCUACCAGAUGUAGUUCAAAGGUUGCUUAAGCUGUUCAAAGCUUCUAAGCUUUGCAGCUCUUCUUAUACGAAAUAACUAGUGCAGUAGCGUACGCCAUCCUUAAUAAUAGGGGGUGGCGUACGCCACGGAAGAAUAAUAAGCCGAAAUUACCACAAGCAAGCUGAAGAAAGUUCACAAAUGAGCAGAAGCUUCAAUAAUCAGUACUCAGCAAAAUUAUAAGAAUCAAGCAAACAUCAGAAGAAGUUCUGCAAUUCAAUAUCAUAUAGAAGACAAAGUCUGACUGAAUCUCAAGAACAUAAGAACAGAUCAUCUCUUGUGUAUGCUAGAUUAUCAUCACACUAAGUAUACAGUGAAGAAAGUGCUAGACACACAUGAUUAUCAACUCAACACCUCAUCUGAUAUUCAUAACAUCUUUCAUACAAACCUGCUCCAACCCACAGCUGAGGAUUCAUUCCCCUCACAGAGAACCUUCAAUUGACAGCCACUCAUCAUUGUAGAAGAAGACAAUGAACUUGAGUGGGAAAUCAAAGCAAUUCUUGACAAUAGAAUCAACCACUGCUGCCAUGAAUAUCUCAUCAAAUGAGUAGAAUACAAUCAUCCAAUCUGGGAAUCUGUGUCUGCCUUGAAGGACACUGCCGCCCUCAACAUCUACAAGUCCUCACUCAUUCUGAUAGGGGAGGAUAAUGUGAUGAGUUAGCAUCUGUUAGUAAUUAACUUAUGCAACCAACUUCUCUUCUGCAUCUGCUUGUUUCUGGCUGUUGUGAUCUCAUGUAACUCUUGAUGUUCUUUCACUUCAUGCUCUGCAUUUGUGUAGUUUCUAAUGAUUCUUCUGUGUAGCUCUUAAUGUUCUUCCACUCCAUGCUCUGCACUUGCAUAGUCUCUAACAAUUCUUCCACAUAGCUUCUUAUGUUCCUCUACUCUGUGUUCCAUGCUUGCAUAGUCUCUAACAAUUCUUCCACAUAGCUCUCAAUGAUUCCUCUGCUCCAUGUUCCAUGCUUGCAUAACUUCUAACAAUUCUUACACAUAUCUCUUAAUGUUCUUUCACUCUGUGCUUCACUGUGGAGCAGCUUCUGAUAUUCUUCCAUUCUGAACUUUUCUCUAUAAGAACCCUCUUCAUACAAUCUUUUCUUCUGAUUUCCUUUCUCUUUCUUUCCUUAAUCAAUUCAUAAUCUGUAAUUAGGAUAGUACCAAAUC